AGCGAACGCUGGCGGCAGGCCUAACACAUGCAAGUCGAACGGACCCUUCGGGGUUAGUGGCGGACGGGUGAGUAACACGUGGGAACGUGCCCUUUGGUUCGGAACAACUCAGGGAAACUUGAGCUAAUACCGAAUGUGCCCUUCGGGGGAAAGAUUUAUCGCCAUUGGAGCGGCCCGCGUCUGAUUAGCUAGUUGGUGGGGUAAUGGCCUACCAAGGCGACGAUCAGUAGCCGGUCUGAGAGGAUGAUCAGCCACAUUGGGACUGAGACACGGCCCAAACUCCUACGGGAGGCAGCAGUGGGGAAUCUUGCGCAAUGGGCGAAAGCCUGACGCAGCCAUGCCGCGUGAAUGAUGAAGGUCUUAGGAUUGUAAAAUUCUUUCACCGGGGACGAUAAUGACGGUACCCGGAGAAGAAGCCCCGGCUAACUUCGUGCCAGCCGCCGCGGUAACAC
rnacentral:rRNA from 1 species